rnacentral:misc_RNA from 1 species
CAUGGAACUUAAAGCAGCAAACAUUCAGGAUUCCCCCAUCUAGACCCACACAAUUCUGAGCUACCGCCCACACACUCACAGAUGACACACAUGCCCCACUUACCGGUCACCCUCUACUCGUUGCUCCGGUGAAGCAUCUGGGUCCACUUCACUUGGUUCCAUCAACAAGGAUUUUAUAAGGUUUUACUCAAAGAUUUGACACUAUCCUUAUUGUUAUCGUCAGCUUCAGCUAAUUCCUCUCCAACCCUUUGUUUGGAAUUCGGAUCCUACCAAAGACUGAUCUUGGAUUGUUUCAGGUUAUAGAGCAGUAAAAGUUACAGCUGAGAAGCUUGAAGAUGUCUGGACUCACUGUGGAUUUGUCUCGUAAUGGGAACGUAAGGAAUGUUGAUAGCCAUUGUACUCUGUCUGGAGUCGAUGAAUUGGAUUUCUCCAAGUUAUUGGAGAGAGAGAGACCAAGGCCUUUGAAUAUGGACAGGCAGAGAUCAUUUGAUGAAAGGUCUAUUAAUGAAUUGUCAAUUGGGGUGUCUCCUCGUCACACAACUAGACCUGAAAACACUUCUAGAUUUACAGACCAUUUGGAUUCUGUAUAUUCGCCUGGUAAAAGGUCAGGCCUUAAUACCCCAAGGUCAAGUUCUGAUUUUGAGACGCAUCCGAUUGUGGCAGAAGCUUGGGAAGCUUUGAGGCGCUCAUUGGUUUAUUUUCGCGGCCAACCAGUUGGGACCAUUGCUGCAUUGGAUAAUUCUGAAGAAAAAUUUAACUAUGAUCAGGUUAGGAUUGCGCAAAUUUUUUUUUUAACCCAUUUUACUUCAUGCGAUAAGUCUUUAUGGCUAUGCUGUGCUAUUGAAUUGCAGGAGCAGAGGGCAACCGUUUGUUAAUUGUAUAACAGGAUAAUAGAAGAAUAGCCUGGGAGAAAGUAGUUCAUUGGGGAAAAUCAGUUCAUUUGUUUGUAACCUAUAUUUUAUUUAGUUAUUUAUUUCCUCUUUUUAAGGAUUUUCUUAACACCCCAUCUGAAAAAAGAAAAUAAAGGGGAAGAACUAAAGAAAACGAAGGAUAAUAUAUGUGAACUUUAAAAUGUGAUUCUGUACAUUUUGUGCCAUAAUGCUAUACAGGUCCUGUUUUAUGGAUUUUCAGCUAUUUUAACUCUUUUCUUUAGGCAAGCUGUUUUAACUCUUUGAAUCUGUACAAUAUUCAUUUCUUUAUGUAAUCAUGGUAUUUCUGUGACUAGCAUUUGCUUGAACGAACAAAAAAAAAAAAAAUUUGUUUUUUCAUUGGCCAGUAUAGAAAAUUUUCCCGUCUUCGGACUACAGGGGACCAUUUGUAUUUAUGGGAACGGAGGCUUGGCAGGGGGUUGAGUAGAGUGGGCACAAGUGGGACAAAUGCCCCUUUCAUAUAUUUUUUAGACAUGUUUACUGUGGUGCUGACUUCUAAUUAAUGUGUUUAUGAUGCAGCCACUUUAUGUUUUAAAAAGUGAACCUUUUAUCCAAUUUCCUUUCUCUGUCUCUGACAUUACAACAUUAGAACGAUUAUAUAUAUAUAGUGUUUAUUUGUUAGUCGCUUUACAGACUUGUGUUGGCUUUUUCUUUGCAUAGGUUUUUGUAAGAGACUUUAUCCCAAGUGCAUUAGCUUUUUUGAUGAAUGGAGAACCUGAAAUAGUCAAGAAUUUCAUUUUGAAGACUCUUCGCCUUCAGUCAUGGGAGAAAAAAAUUGACAGAUUCCAACUUGGGGAAGGAGUAAUGCCUGCCAGUUUUAAAGUACUCCACGAUCCAGUGAGAAAUAAUGAAACUUUGAUAGCAGAUUUUGGUGAAAGUGCAAUUGGAAGAGUGGCUCCU